rnacentral:rRNA from 1 species
AUUGAACGCUGGCGGCAUGCCUUACACAUGCAAGUCGAACGGUAACGGGCCUUCGGGUGCCGACGAGUGGCGAACGGGUGAGUAAUACAUCGGAACGUGCCCGAUCGUGGGGGAUAACGAGGCGAAAGCUUUGCUAAUACCGCAUACGAUCUACGGAUGAAAGCAGGGGACCGCAAGGCCUUGCGCGGACGGAGCGGCCGAUGGCAGAUUAGGUAGUUGGUGGGAUAAAAGCUUACCAAGCCGACGAUCUGUAGCUGGUCUGAGAGGAUGAUCGGCCACACUGGGACUGAGACACGGCCCAGACUCCUACGGGAGGCAGCAGUGGGGAAUUUUGGACAAUGGGCGCAAGCCUGAUCCAGCCAUGCCGCGUGCAGGAUGAAGGCCUUCGGGUUGUAAACUGCUUUUGUACGGAACGAAAAGCCUUCUUUUAAUACAGGAGGGUCAUGACGGUACCGUAAGAAUAAGCACCGGCUAACUACGU